rnacentral:rRNA from 1 species
CCUACGGGGGGCAGCAGUGAGGAAUAUUGGUCAAUGGGCGGGAGCCUGAACCAGCCAAGUCGCGUGAGGGAAGACGGUCCUAUGGAUUGUAAACCUCUUUAGGCGGGGAGCAAUGCCGGGCACGCGUGCCCGGAGGGAGAGUACCCGCAGAAUAAGCAUCGGCUAACUCCGUGCCAGCAGCCGCGGUAAUACGGAGGAUGCGAGCGUUAUCCGGAUUUAUUGGGUUUAAAGGGUGCGCAGGCGGCGAGUUAAGUCAGCGGUAAAAUUUCGGGGCUCAACCCCGACAAGCCGUUGAAACUGGCUUGCUAGAGUGGGCGAGAAGUAUGCGGAAUGCGUGGUGUAGCGGUGAAAUGCAUAGAUAUCACGCAGAACUCCGAUUGCGAAGGCAGCAUACCGGCGCCCAACUGACGCUCAGGCACGAAAGCGUGGGUAUCGAACAGGAUUAGAUACCCCUGUAGUC